AAACAGAGCCAGGGCGUCACCAGGCCCAUUUCUCAUGCCAAGGCAGCUGCUGGGAGAGGAGAUGGGAUUACACUGAGAUAUGGAUGACUUGGCAGGGUGACUAUCUCCUUCUGUGGCACAAUUGUGUCUGAGGGCUUACAGAGACAAUAUGGUGAAGAUCAACUUCCACGAGUCCAACCACGUCGACAGAGACAACAUGGUGGACAGCCUGAAGGCCCAGCUGCCGCCCAGGAGUUGGAGUUGAAAGAAAGGAUCGCUGGUAGUUUCAGUGAUGGAGGCGAAUCAUCUCCCCAUAACGCAUUACCAGGGGCAAACUACCUGCCCUCCAUGACACCUACAGCACCCGAUGUCACAGGAAGGCCAAAAAUAUCAUCAAGGAUAUCAACCACCCGAGCCACUGCCUGUUCACCCUGCUAUCAUCCAGAAGGCGAG
rnacentral:lncRNA from 1 species